UACGGAGGGUGCAAGCGUUAUCCGGAUUCACUGGGUUUAAAGGGAGCGCAGGCGGGCUUGUAAGUCAGUGGUGAAAUACCCGUGCUUAACAUGGGAACUGCCAUUGAUACUAUAGGUCUUGAAUAUCGUUGAGGUUUGCGGAAUGGGUCAUGUAGCGGUGAAAAUGCAUAGAUAUGACCCGGAACACCUAUUGCGAAGGCAGCAGGCUAAGCGAAGAUUGACGCUGAGGCUCGAAAAGCGUGGGGGAUCAAACAGG
rnacentral:rRNA from 1 species